GAUACCGUAGGAAUGCUUUGGGUGUACCAAAUGUCACAACGUAACUGGGUGGCUAUAAAGGUGCACUACAGGUAUCUCCAAAAGUGUCUGUUGGGUUGGCACGAAUCGAGACUGGGAUUUGUCACUCCGUGUAAACAGAGAGGUAUCUCUGGGCCCACUCGGUAGGACAUCAUCAUAAUGUGCACAAUGUGACCAAGGGGUUGAUCAUGGGAUGAUGUGUUAUGGAACGAGUAAAGAGACUUGCCGGUAACGAGAUUGAACAAGGUAUCGGGAUACGACGAUCGAAUCUCGGGCAAGUACAAUACCGCGAGACAAAGGGAAUUGUAUACGGGAUCGAUUGAGUCCUUGACAUCGUGGUUCAUUCGAUGAGAUCAUCAUGGAACAUGUGGGAGCCAACAUGGGUAUCCAGAUCCCGCUGUUGGUUAUUGACCGGAGAAUGUCUCGAUCAUGUCUGCAUGGUUCCCGAACCCGUAGGGUCUACACACUUAAGGUUCGAUGACGCUAGGGUUAUAAAGGAAGUUUGUAUGUGGUUAACGAAUGUUGUUCGGAGUCCCGGAUGAGAUCCCGGACAUCACGAGGAGUUCCGUAAUGGUCCGGAGGUAAAGAUUUAUAUAUGGGAAGUCAUGUUUUGGUCACCGGAAAAGUUUCGGGUUUUAUCGGUAACGUAUCGGGACCACCGGGAGGGUCCCGGGGGUCCACCAAGUGGGGCCACCAUCCCCGGAGGGCUGCAUGGGCCAAGUGUGGGAGGGGACCAGCCCUAGGUGGGCUGGUGCGCCCCCCCCCACAAGGGCCCAAGGCGCCUAGGGUUGGGGGAGGGGGCGCACCCACCUAACUUGGGGGGCAAGUUUCCCCUCUCCCCCCCUUGGCCGCCACCCUAGAUGGGAUUGGGGCUGCCGCACCCCUUGGGGUGGAAACCCUAGAGGGGGCGCACCCCCCUCCCUCUCCCCUAUAUAUAGUUGAGGUCUUGAGGGCUGCCAACACAUGAGUUUCACCUCUCCCUGGCGCAACCCUACCUCUCUCCCUUCUCCUCUCCCGUGGUGCUUGGCGAAGACCUGCAGGAUUGCCACGCUCCUCCAUCACCACCACGCCGUUGUGCUGCUGCUGGAUGGAGUCUUCCUCAACCUCUCCCUCUCUCCUUGCUGGAUCAAGGCGUGGGAGACGUCACCGGGCUGUACGUGUGUUGAACGCGGAGGUGCCGUCCGUUCGGCACUAGGAUCUCCGGUGAUUUGGAUCACGACGAGUACGACUCCUUCAACCCCGUUCUCUUGAACGCUUCCGCUUAGCAAUCUACAAGGGUAUGUAGAUGCACUCUCCUUCCCGUCGUUGCUAGUCUCUCCAUAGAUAGAUCUUGGUGACUCGUAGGAAAACUUUGAAUUUCUGCUACGUUCCCCAACAGUGGCAUCAUGAGCUAGGUCUAUUGCGUAGAUUCUUUGCACGAGUAGAACACAAAGUAGUUGUGGGCGUUGAUUUUGUUCAAUAUGCUUACCGUUACUAGUCCAAUCUUGUUUCGAUGGUAUUGUGGGAUGAAGCGGCCCGGACCGACCUUACACGUACACUUAUGUGAGACAUGUUCCACCGACUGACAUGCACUUGGUGCAUAAGGUGGCUAGCGGGUGCCAGUCUCUCCCACUUUACUCGGAACGGAUUCGAUGAAAAGGGUCCUUAUGAAGGGUAAAUAGCAAUUGGCAUAUCAUGUUGUGGUUUUGCGUAGGUAAGAAACGUUCUUGCUAGAAACCCAUAGCAGCCACGUAAAACAUGCAAACAACAAUUAGAGGACGUCCAACUUCUCUUUGCAGGGUAUGCUAUGUGAUGUGAUAUGGUCAAGAAGAAUGUGAUGAAUGAUAUGUGAUGUAUGAGAUUGAUCAUGUUCUUGUAAUAGGAAUCACGACUUGCAUGUCGAUGAGUAUGACAACUGGCAGGAGCCAUAUGAGUUGUCUUAAUUUAUUGUAUGACCUGCGUGUCAUUGAACAAACGCCAUGUAAUUACUUUACUUUAUUGCUAACCGGUAGCCAUAGUAGUAGAAGUAAUAAGUUGGCGAGACAACUUCAUGGAGACACGAUGUGCCGGUGACGAUGAUGAUCAUGGAGCCCCGAAGAUGGAGAUCAAAAGGAGCAAAAUGAUAUUGACCAUAUCAUGUCACUAUUUGAUUGCAUGUGAUGUUUAUCAUGUUUAUACAUCUUAUUUGCUUAGAACGACGGUAGUAAAUAAGAUGAUCCCUCAUUAAAAUUUCAAGAAAGUGUUUCCCCUAACUGUGCACUGUUGCAAAAGUUCGUCGUUUCAAAGCACCACGUGAUGAUCGGGUGUGAUAGAUUCUUACGUUCACAUACAACAGGUGUAAGCCAGAUUUACACACGCGAAACACUUAGGUUAACUUGAUGAGCCUAGCAUGUACAGACAAGGCCUCGGAACAUAAGAGACCGAAAGGUCAAGCAUGAGUCGUAUGGAGGAUACGAUCAACAUGAAGAUGUUCACCGAUGAUGACUAGUCCGUCUCACGUGAUGAUCGGACACGGCCUAGUUGACUCGGAUCAUGUAAUCACUUAGAUGACUAGAGGGAUGUCUAUCUGAGUGGGAGUUCAUGAGAUGAACUUAAUUAUCCUGAACAUAGUCAAAAGAACUUUGCAAAUUAUGCCGUAAGCUCGCGCUUUAGUUCCACUGUUUAGAUAUGUUCCUAGAGAAAAAUAUAGUUGAAAGUUGACAUUAGCGAUUAUGCGGACAGUAGAAAGCUUAUGUCCUUAAUGCACCGCUCAGUGUACUGAACCCCAAACGUCGUCUGUGGAUGUUGCGAACAUCGGACAUACACGUUUUGAUAACUACGUGAUAGUUCAGUUAAACGGUUUAGAGUUGAAGCACCAAAGACGUUUUCGAAACAUCGCGGAACAUAUGAGAUGUUUCGAGGGCUGAAAUUGGGAUUUCAGGCUCGUGCCCACGUCAAGAGGUAUAAGACCUCCGACGAUUUUCUUAGCCUGCAAACUAAGGGAGAAAAGCUCAAUCGUUGAGUUUGUGCUCAGAUUGUCUGAGUGCAACAAUCACUUGAAUCGAGUGGGAGUUGAUCUUCCAGAUGAGAUAGUGAUGUUUCUCCAAAGUCAUUGCCACCAAGCUGCUAGAGCUUCGUGAUGAACUAUAACAUAUAAGGGAUAGAUAUGAUGAUCCUUGAGGUAUUCGUGAUGUUUGACACCGCGAAAGUAGAAAUCAAGAAGGAGCAUCAAUUGUUGAUGGUUGGUGAAACCACUAGUUUCAAGAAGGGCAAGGGCAAGAAGGGAUACCUCAUGAAACGGCAAAUCAGUUGCUGCUCUAGUGAAGAAACCCAAGGUUGAACCCAAACCCGAGACUAAGUGCUUCUGUAAUAAGGGGAACAACCACUGGAGCAGAAUUACCCUAGAUACUUGGUAGAUGAGAAGGCUGGCAAGGUCGAUAGAAGUAUAUUGGAUAUACAUUAAGUUAAUGUGUACUUUACUAGUACUCCUAGUAGCACCAUGGUAUUAGAUACCGGUUCGGUUACUAAGUGUUAGUAACUCGAAAUAAAAGCUACGGAAUAAACGGAGACUAGCUAAAGUGAGCUGACGAUAUGUGUUGGAAGUGUUUCCAAGGUUGAUGUGAUCAAGCAUCGCCUGCUCCGUCUACCAUGAAGAUUGGUGUUAAACCUAAAUAAUUGUUAUUUGGUGUUUGCGUUGAGCAUAGACAUGAUUGGAUUAUGUCUAUCGCAAUACGGUUAUUCAUGUAAGGAGAAUAAUGGUUACUCUAUUUAUUUGAAUAAUACCUUCAAUGGUCUUGCACCUAAAAGAAUGGUUCAUUGAAUCUCGAUCGUAGUGAUACCAAUUUUCAUGCCAAAAGAUAUAAGAUAGUAAUGAUAGUACCACUUACUUGUGGCACUGCCAUGUAAGUCAUAUUGGUAUAAAACGCAUGAAGAAGCUCCAUGUUGAUGGAUCUUUGGACUCACUCGUUUUUGAAAAGUUUGAGACAUGCGAGCCAUGUCUAUUGGUGUAUACGCAUGAAGAAACGCCAUGCAGAUGGAUCAUUUGGACUCACUUAAUUUUGAAUCGCUUGAGAAAUUCAAAUCAUACCACAUGGGCAAGAUGACUGAAAAGCCUCGUUUUCAGUAAAAUGGAACAAGAUAUCAACUUGUUGAAAGUAACACAUUUUGAUGUGUGCAGUCCAAUGAGUGCUGAGGCAUGCAGUGAAUAUCGUUAUGUUCUUACUUCACGGAUGAUUUAAGUAGAUACUGAGUAUGUUUACUUGAUGAAACACAAGUCUGAAUUAUUGAAUGGUUCAAGUAAUUUUAGAGUGAAGUUGAAGAUCAUCGUGACAAGAGGAUAAAAUGUCUAUGAUAUGAUCAUAGAGAUGAGUAUCUGAGUUACGAGCUUUGGCACGCAAUUAAGACACUAUGGAAAUUGUUUCACAAUUAAUACCGCCUGGAACACCAUAGUGUGAUGGUGUGUCCGAACAUCAUAGUUGCACCCUAUUGGAUAUGGUGCGUACCAUGAUGUCUCUUAUCAAAUUACCACUAUCGUUCAUGGGUUAGGCAUUAGAGACAACCACACUCACUUUAAUAGGGCACCACGUAAUUCCGUUGAGAUGACACCGUGAGAACUAUGGUUUAGAGAAACCUAAGAUGUCGUUUCUUGAAAGUAUGGGGCUGCGAUGCUUAUGUGAAAAAGUUUCAUCGUGAUAAGCUCGAACCCAAAACGGAUAAAUGCAUCUUCAUAGGAUACCCAAAAUGGUUGGGUAUACCUCCUAAUUCAGAUCCGGAAGCAAAAGUGAUUGUUUCUAGAAACGGGUCCUUUCUCGAGGAAAAGUUUCUCUCGAAAGAAUUGAGUGGGAGGAUGGUGGAGACUUGAUGAGGUUAUUGAACCAUCACUUCAACCAGUGUGUAGCAGGGCACAGGAAGUUGUUCCUGUGGCACCUAUACCAAUUGAAGUGGAAGCUUAGAUAGUGAUCAUGAAGCUUCGGAUCAAGUCACUAUCGAACCUUGUAAGACGACAAGGACGCGUACUGCUUCGAAGUGGUACGGUGAUCCUGUCUUGAAGGUCAUGUUGCCAGACAACAAUGAACCUACGAGCUAUGGAGAAGCGAUGGUGGGCCCAAAUUUCGACAAAUGGUAAGAAGCCAUGAAAUCCGAGAUAGGAUCCAUGUAUCAGAACAAAGCAUGGACUUUGGUGGACUUGCCCGAUGAUCGGCAAGUCAUUGAGAUAAAUGGAUCUUUAAGAAGAAGACGGACGUGGACAGUAAUGUCACCGUCUAUGAAGCUCGGCUUGUGGCGAAGAGUUAUUCACAAGUUCAAGGAGUUGACUACGAUGAGAUUUUCUCAUCCGUAGCGAUGCUUAAGUCCGUCGGAAUCAUGUUAGCAUUAGCUGCAUUUAUGAAAUCUGGCAGAUGGAUGUCAAAACGAGUUAGUUUUUGUAAGGAAAGGUUGUAUGUGAUACAAUCAGAAAGGUUUUGUCGAUCCUAAGGAUGCUAAAAGGUAUGCUAGCUCCAGCAAUCCUUCCAUGGACUGGAGUAAGCAUCUCGGAGUUGGAAUAUGCACUUUGAUAAGAUGAUCAAAGAUUUUGGGUUUAUACAAAGUUUAUGAGAAACUUGUAUUUCCAAAGAAGUGAGUGGGAGCACUAUAGAAUUUCUGAUGAAUAUAUAUUGUUGAUCAGAAAUGAUGUAGAAUUUUUGGAAAGCAUAUAGGGUUAUUUGAAAAGUGUUUUUCAAUAGAAAACCUGGAUUAAGCUGCUUGAGCAUUGAGCAUCAAGAUCUAUGAGGAUAGAUCAAAAACGCUAAAUGGUACUUUCAAAUGAGCACAUACCUUGACAUGAUCUUGAAGGUGUUCAAGAUGGAUCAGUCAAAGAAGGAGUUCUUGCCUGAGUUGUAAGGUAUGAAGUUAAGACUUAAAGCUCGACCACGGCAGAAUAGAGAGAAAGGACAAAGGUUGUACCCUAUUCUUAGACAUAGGCUCCAUAGUAUGCUAUGCUGUGUACCACACCUGAUGUGUGCCUUGCUACAUAUCUGGCAAGUGGGUACAAAGGUGAUCAAGGAGUGGAUCACCAGAUGGCGGUCAAAAUUAUCCUUAGAGGAAUAAGGAUAUGUUUCUCGAUUAUGGAGGUGAUAAAGAGUUCGACGUAAAGGGUUACGUCGAUGCAAGCUUUAACACCUAUCUGAGUGACUCUGAGUAGCAAACCGGAUACGUAUAGUGGAGCAACCAUUUGGAAUAGCUCCAAGUGGAGCGUGGAAGCAGCAUUUACAAUAUGACCUAGAGAUUUGUGAAGUACAUACGGAUCUGAAUGUUGCAGACCCGUUGACUAAAACCUCUCUCACAAGCAAAACAUGAUCAAACCCCAGAACUCAUUGAGUCUUAAUCACAUGAUGAUGUGAACUAGUUUAAUGACACUAGUAAACUCUUUGGAUGUUGGUCACAUGGCAAUAUGACCUAUGAGUGUUAAUCACAUGGCGAUGUGAACUGGAUUACUGGAUUAUUGACUCUAGUGCAAGUGGGAGACUGUUGGAAAUAUGCCCUAGAGGCAACAAUAAAUUAGUUAUUAUUAUUAUAUUUCCUUGUUCAUGAUAAUAGUUUAUUAUCCAUGCUAUAAUUGUAUUGAUAGGAAACUCAGAUACAUGUGUGGGUACAUAGACAACACCAUGUCCCUAGUAAGCCUCUAGUUGACUAGCUCGUUGAUCAAUAGAUGGUUACGGUUUCCUGACCAUGGACAUUGGAUGUCGUUGAUAACGGGAUCACAUCAUUAGCAGAAUGAUGUGAUGGACAAGACCCAAUCCUAAGCCUAGCACAAAGAUCGUGUAGUUCGUAUGCUAAAGCUUUUCUAAUGUCAAGUAUCAUUUCCUUAGACCAUGAGAUUGUGCAACUCCCGGAUACCGUAGGAAUGCUUUGGGUGUACCAAACGUCACAACGUAACUGGGUGGCUAUAAAGGUGCACUACAUGUAUCUCCAAAAGUGUCUGUUGGGUUGGCACGAAUCGAGACUGGGAUUUGUCACUCCGUGUAAAUGGAGAGGUAUCUGUGGGCCCACUCGGUAGGACAUCAUCAUAAUGUGCACAAUGUGACCAAGGGGUUGAUCACGGGAUGAUGUGUUACGGAACGAGUAAAGAGACUUGCCGGUAACGAGAUUGAACAAGGUAUCGGGAUACCGACGAUCGAAUCUCGGGCAAGUACAAUACCGCGAGACAAAGGGAA
rnacentral:lncRNA from 1 species